GAUGAACGCUGGCGGCGUGCCUAAUACAUGCAAGUCGAGCGAACAGACGAGGAGCUUGCUCCUUUGACGUUAGCGGCGGACGGGUGAGUAACACGUAGGUAACCUACCUAUAAGACUGGGAUAACUUCGGGAAACCGGAGCUAAUACCGGAUAAUAUUUUGAACCGCAUGGUUCGAUAGUGAAAGACGGCUUUGCUAUCACUUAUAGAUGGACCUGCGCCGUAUUAGCUAGUUGGUAAGGUAACGGCUUACCAAGGCAACGAUGCGUAGCCGACCUGGGAGGGUGAUCGGCCACACUGGAGCUGAGACACGGUCCAGACUCCUACGGGAGGCAGCAGUAGGGAAUCUUCCGCAAUGGGCGAAAGCCUGACGGAGCAACGCCGCGUGAGUGAUGAAGGUCUUCGGAUCGUAAAACUCUGUUAUUAGGGAAGAACAAACGUGUAAGUAACUGUGCACGUCUUGACGGUACCUAAUCAGAAAGCCACGGCUAACUACGUG
rnacentral:rRNA from 1 species